UCACAGCGUGGAAAAUGCCCAAACGUGAUUUUUUUUUUUUUUUUUUUUAAAAAAAGCACUGAAAACCCCAAACACCCAAGGAGUGAUUGAUCUGCAGAGCUGGAGGGGCGCGGGGAAGAAGCUGCUGCUUGCCUGGCUCCGCACGACAGCCUGCCCGCCAUUCGGGUCGUGCGUGACUUCAGGCAGAGCCCUGGCAGUUCGCAGUGAGCAAAGAGAGCGGGUAUCGGCUCCUUGUCGUGAGCCCUCCUUAACGAGAAUAUUGGGAUUGGCGUUGUGCGAGUGCAGCCUUCCGGAAUGAGAACCUCGGCGCUGGUCUUUGCGAGUGCCUCCGGCUGACCAGCAGAGAGGCCCUGCCCUGCGAAGCUGGAGCAACACCUAACGAGAAACGCAGCGAUUUCCUUGCCAGCGAGGCAGCCUGCUUGCUGCAGUGAUUUGUAGCGCAGCUACGACUUUAUGCUCUUCUGGCAACAAUUUAGCUGAGGAUUAGCACGAGGUGCCCAGGCCAGGUUUCAUACCGAGCUCCCUGUGCCGGAGAGCUGGGGGAAGCUGGUGUGUGGUGUACGUGAAAAUUGCCAAUAGCUCGCGUGCCUGAAGCCUCGUCUGUAUUUGGAUUAAAUGAGCGUGGGCAGGAAAAUGAUUUUGUUCUCUUGCUAGGAUGUGUUUGGAGAUACGCCUUGUGUUCCUCAGAGGCCUCCACAGGCCUGCAGGUACGCCAGCAAACUGGCCGUUUGGGAUGAUUUCAUGUUUUCCAGGCUGGCACAUCCUGUGGGACUCAGAAUUACUUUUCCUUGGCAGUUUGGGACAACUAAGUGAGAGUUACCUUGUGAGUGCUGAACUUUUACCGCCCCGUGCUUUGGAUUGAAGAGUUACUAGAACUACAUCCGCGAGGUUUCCAAGCUAAACAAAACCUGAAUUCCUGGUGCCAAAAAGCAAGCGAGCGAUAGAAACCUCCGUCCUCCUCCAUAAAGGGGGAAGCCACAGCCUUGCCAGCUCUCCUAUUAUAGCAAAGAGUUAAAAAGGCAUAAUGCUGCAUCCUGAGGUCUGCAGAGCGAGUGGUGGGGUACAAUGAAAGCCAAAGCUAGACGAUAAACUGUUCUGUGCUGUAUUGCUGCAGAGGAUUUAAGACGCGGUAGCUCUCAAUGCACAAGCACUUUUCUUCCCCCUGCCUUUUCCUUGAAGUGAGAGUGAUCGUGGCAUGAACGUGCGCAGUCUGCUUCGUUUAAAACACAGCUACGUCGCUUCGGUAUCAAAAUGUCGUUUGGUGAAACAAAAGUGCUGAUGGUGGCUGGCUUGCAAUUUAUUUUGUGCUGGGUGUGCCGAUCGAUCGGAUGGGGAAUGUGGGGAAGAGCAGCCUUCAGCUCUCAGGGCUGGACAGGUUUUUUUGUGUUAAACUCUUGUCCUGCAGCAUCUUCAGCGUAAUUUCUGUGAUUCCUCCUGGGCACUGCAUGUGGGGCCUUUUAUGUAGAGUUAAUGCACGGCAACGGGGUGUUAAAAAUGGCAAGGUACAGAACACAGUGAUCUCUUCAGUCCGAAUGGUUUGGUUUGGUUUUAAACCCUUUGCAGUGUGGGGCUGGCUUCCCUCCCCCCCCCCUUUUCUUUUCCCCUGAAGCGUCCUAUUUUGCAGCCUGGAAGACUGAAGUCCUCUGUCUGGUUGUUGAAAUACCCCGUGUUUGGGAAAAACGAGCAGGUACAGCUCCUCAUGUGGUCACAGAGGUCUUUGGGGCCAAGGCAGAAGCUGGCACCUUGAUGUUUCUAUUUUUUUUCCCCUACACUUCGUGAAAAAGUAGGUAUUAAUCCUAAGAUAUCUGCUACACAGUAAGCAGGAGCGAGCUCUUCUGCAGUCCUGUGAGUGCACGUGGUGUUUUGGUUGCGUGGCUCAGCAAUCGCUGAGCGGUGCUGAAACGUCUGUUUUUGUAUAGCAGCGUAUUUUGAAAACAGAAGUGUGCUUUUAUGUAUAUACAAACGGGUUCACUGUAAGCCAUGUUCCAGGGGCUCCUGAGCUGUGUUUGCAGAAGGUAGCUGAUGCUAACCCACUGCUACAGUGGCAGUAUUUUGUGGCAGCUCCCGUCCCCAGUGCUGUGUGGGUAAGAACACCACCACCGGCUUUGGCUGGGAGUAGUGUUUGGAAAGGAAUCGCUAAAUUCUGGGUGCAACCAUUUCAGACACUUGAAGGGAGUCUUCUGGACAGAGCCGUCGCAUCUCGAAGGCUUGGAGCACUGACCCUCAGAGAGGCAAGAACCAAAAUCAAUAGCUUUAUUAAUUCAAAUCCCGUGCUUUGUGUUGCUUAGCAUCCAGAACCGGGCUUCGUGUUCAAAGCGUUAUCGUAUAAACCAAUACCCUCCAUUCAACACGUGAGCCCAAAUAUCCAACAGCACCAAUCCUUUCCUGGAGAAAAUUAGCCCUUGCAUAAAAUGUAAUGGGUAAGCAAUAAAAUUAGCCCGGUAAUUCAGGCUGGCUUAAAAAGGAGCUAAAAGCCUGGCUGGCAAUUUGAUACUCAGCUGCCAUAGUGUCACGUUAAUAAAUACAGGCAGUGAGCAGGAAGGGCACCUAAAUACAUUUUCCAAUGGCAAGAUGGAGGCUGGAGCUGGCCAGCUCGAACAAAGCAGAGCUCCGAGCGUUCCUGGUGCCGGCUGAGAGCCCUUGGCUGAGCAACGCACCGUUUUCCUGUAAAAAGCAAAGCAGGCUGGAUGCCUGCUGGACGCCGAGGAUAAUCGCUGCGUGCCGUGGCUGCGGCCGCUGCAAUCCCUGCGGGUCUCUGGUCAAUGCAGCCGGCCGAUGUCCCCAGCUGCGGGGAGCGGCGUGACGCCUCCCUUCCCCAUCCCCAGCUGCGAGCUCAAGAGGCAGAGCCCUCGCUGAGCCAGAACCCAGUGUAGGAAGUCACGGUCUUAGCAAAUACCGCUCUGCUUGCUGUCCUUGUUCGGUAUCUAAUCUUUGCUUUUUUAAAUGUUUGGCAAGCAGUCCCUGCAACACGUGGCAGUGUGCUCCACCACUUGGGUAAGACACCGUGUUAAAAAUGUUACGAACAUUGUGUUACAUGUUAAAAAUGUAGGAACUUGCCUUUUCAAGUGUUGUCUGCUGGCUCCCUGACGUGCCCUUCAAUUUAUUCACAUUUCCUCCUAGAUGUGAGGCUGUCUCUGGCUGUUCCCUUCGCUUUUUGUAUGGACCCCAAGGAUGUUUUCUGAUUCUGCUGCCUUUUUUUUUUUCCCCAAACCGGAGAGCUGCUAACUUUAUGAGCUCCUUAUAUGGCAGCGCCAUUUUCUCACGCCUUUAAUGGCUCUCCUUUGAUCUGUCCUCUUCUUGCUUUGCUUUUCUUGAUGUGAACACAGUGUUCAAGCUGAGAUGGGUUUAUAACCUGCUCCCUCAUUAAUAUCUGGCCUGGCAUUUUAAUCCUCUCCAAGUGGUGAUAAGAAACAUGCAGAUGUUUUAACUGAGUGUUUGACCGAGAUACCCAGAGAUAGCUGGGUUCUCGCUACACCUGCCGCGUGUAUGAGUAAUUACAUGGUGCCUUGCCGUGCGCCGGACCCUGCCCUGGUGCAUGCCCAAGGCCGAGAGGCAUCAGGUGGAGGAGAGCAGCUGGACUCUCCUCUCCUUGGCUCUUUGCCCCCCGAGGGGCAGUAGCACAGGGCGCAGGGCUGUCUCGGCCCUUGGUGUUUGCCUCCGGGCUCGCGUCGUCAGCAGUGCCGGGACUGUGGGCUGGCACGGGCGGCGUGAACGCGUGCCCCUCCUGCAGUGACAAGGACAGCAGUGGUUGCUGCCACAUGAGGCUGGUCCUUUAUCGAGGUCCCUUUGGCCUCCUGAGAUGGAGGUUGUGCUCUCUCCUGUCCUGAGCAUCAGCCCGUGUUCUUGAAAAUCUUAGAGUGAGCUGGAGGAAUCCCGUCACGGCGGCAUUGCCCAAGUGUGGUUGCAUGUUGCAGCUGGGAACAGUUUCCCCCCAGAGCACAUGAAAAGCAUCAGAAUGGGCCAGAGCUUCGUUUUGCGUCAGGGGCUGGGGUUCGUGCUCCUCUUCCACUUGGCUUUCAUGUAAAUGCAGCCUUUUAAGCACUAAUUUCAACCAUUUCUUCUGUCAACAGAGUCGAUGCCUUUGUUUGCGACAGCUCCUGCUCGGCCUGCAGACGUCCCUGCCGGCCAGCCCGCUCUCAGGAUUGUGGUGUGACAGCGGUGACCCCGCGUGAGGUUUCUGUGAAGGCCCCCGAGCCCGUGUGGUUUUCUCUUGUCCCUUGGAGGUGCUUCCCUGGCAGGGAGGGAGGGAAAAUGGUUGGAAACGUUGCCUCAGCUGGGGAGGGGAGAAUACGGCAUCAAAAAGCCACUCGAUGCAUGGUUUGAGGGAAGGGGGGCUGCUUUCCUCCCCAAAGUGGAGGCCUGUGGAGUGCUUUAAAAAGGUAUAGACAAGUAGUUCCUGCGCGUUGGGCUUCUGACCAGUUAAAACAAAGAGCUAAGCCCAUUUCCAUGGAGAAAUGUGUGGUGGAAAACUCUGGUGGAGCACAUUAGCAAUGCCUUUUCUUGUGUGUGUGUGUGGCUUGGUCACAUGCUUUAAAUAAUAGAUGGUUUGCACGCAAAAGAGUUAUUUAUUUAUUUUUAAUCAGUAGAUCUCAAUUUGGCAGAGCAGUUUAACACCCAUCAUCACUGGGGAAACUGAGGCACGGGGCCAUGAAGGGAUCAGCCUGCAGCCGCGCCGCAGAGCUGGGGAUAAGACCCAGGUUUGCAGAGGCUCAAGUUGAUGUGCGUCAGAGGUCUGAUUAAAUCAAGAGAUUUGCAAGUUGAAGUGACCUAUAGCUCGAUGACUUUGACCAGUUGCUGCCAGAAGGUUACAGCCGCCCUGGGCAGGGUCCUGCCAGACCGGGCGGCAUCUUGCAAGGUGCCCACCGGAGAUUAACGAGCGUGGACUGAAGGCAAAGGCGGCACAGUUGAGCUCCGCUCAUCUCAACAAAUAAGAACAUGGUUUUAAUCAAUAGGAAAGCGCCGGCAGCAAGCGGGAGGCUUUGGCCAAGGAAAAUACUGAAAUAUUAGUCUGCUCUCUGCGGUGAAAGCAGCUAACUGGCUUGUGUGGCUUCAAAAAAAAAAAAAAAAAGUACUAAUGGCCGUG